AGGAGCCAUUCAAAGGGCUGCAGACUUAAUUGGACUAAUGACCCAUUGCUGUUAUGCAUAAAACUCAGGUGCCGGUAGAAAACCGACAAGGCCGAGGGAACGGCGUGUCGCUGUGAACCCAGGUGCACGUGAUGACCCAAACGGGCCUUUCCAAACACGCUCCCGGAGGUGAAAGGGGAAAAAAGUUGUAAGCUGCUUGUGCGCACAGCUGGGGCGGCUCCUGGGAGCAGGUUCCACUCCAUCUUGUGGUCCAACGGCCCAGCUUGCUGAAAACAAAUGGAAAGAAGUCCACGUGUUCAACUGAAGACGAUUGGGAAGGGGCGGGAAGUGCAGAUGAGAGGGCCCAACGAGGCAGAAGGGAAUGCUUUUAAAAGGUGCCGUACCUGGGCCAAGGCUCUGGUCCAACAUGGCGACGUAUGAAGGCUCUGAACUCACCGCCUCCAGGGGUAUACCGACCCCAACCCUCUUUAUAGACUGGCUCCCCCUGAAGAACGGACGGCUGACUGAACAGCUUCUGCACAACAAAGGAGACCACAGAGAGAAUGGCAAGAGCUAGUGAUGAAGAGAGCCCGCACCCGGAUACUGGGGACUGAUGUGGCAGGACAGGAUUGAGGGAGCAGAGCAGAUCUGCCUGCCACGUGAGCGCCCGGCCCCUGCCCACAGGAGCCCAGAUGCCAUGGGGCAUAGAGAAAAAGCUGGGGUUUAACAGAGCAACUAGAAUACAGAAGAGCCAGCCGUAGGACUCUGCCCGCAGAGAAGGAAGCUGCUGGAACUGUCUGUGGAUCGGAGGGGCUGGUGAGUACCAUGGUUUACAGUGCCCUUCCACUUUGAUAGUGUGUACUGUAGACAGAAGCGGGGUUCUGGGUGACCCAGCCAGCCGCCUCAGUGAGUUCCAGAGCAGCACAUACGGGGAUACCGCUGGUCAGUGCCCGCUACAGCUCUAGCUGUCAAAUUAGGUCACAGGGGCACAGGCACCCCAGAACACUCCAGGCCUGCACCACUUCAGCUCCAGAUGGCUUGCUAGGGCACCCCAGAACAGAGCACUCGGGACCUCCUGGCUCUCACCUGCUGAGCUCCAGCCACCCUGCCAGCAUGCCUCUCCCCCUGCCCCGACCUCGUACAGAAAGCCCUGGACACCUGGCGUGGACUCACUUCAGCCUCAGCUAUCCUGCCAGUGUGCUCUCUGUGUGGAGAGCCCCAGGAAUCCCUGGCCCACGCCUACUUCAACUCUGGCCAUUGCACCAGGGCAGCCCCCGCACAGAGUACCCCGGGACCCCCAGCCCAUGCCAGCCACAGCUCCAGUCAGCCUGCCAAAGUCAACAGACACACAUAGUCUACACAGGAGAUGACCAUACCCAAGAUGAUGCCUUCAAAUUUAGAAGAAACUGCUCUGCUUAAUUCUUAGACACAAGCACAGAAAGUCAAGCAAGAGGGAGAGACAGAGGAAUAUGCUUCAAAUGAAAGAACAAGGCGAAAACCUCAAAAGAAGAACUAAACGGAACAGAGAUAAACAAUACACCUGCUAAAGAGUUCAGUGAUUGUAAAGAUGCUCACCAGGCUGGAGAGAAGAUUGGAAGAAAUCAGUGAGAACUUCAAAAGAGAGAGAAUAUAAAAGGGAACCAAUGAGAGUUGAAAAAUACAAUAACUGAAAUGAAAAAUACACUAGGGCUGAUCAAUAGUAGGUUAGUGGAUGCAAAAGAAUGAAUCAGCAAACUGGAAGACAAGUUAUGGAAAGCACCCAAGCUGAACAGCAAAAAGUAAAAAGAAUUUUAAAAAUGAAGAUAGGUUAAGAGAUCUUUUGGACAACAUCAAGCAAACAAACAUUCUCAUUAUAAAGAUCCUAAAGGAGAAAAGAGAAAGGGGCAGAAAACUUAUAUGAAGAAAUAAUAGUUGAAAAGUUCCCUAACCUGGGGAAGGAAAUAGACAUUCAAGUUCAAGAAGCACAGAGAGUUUAAAACAAGAUGAACCUAAGGAUGUCCAUACCAUGACAUAUAACUACAGUGUCCAAGGUUAGAGAGAAAAAAAUCAUGUAACAAAUGUAGUUGUACGAACUGAACACAUUUGAGAAGAAGAAGAGGCUGAGUAUUGAAGACAUUCUGGACUAGGAAAAAAAGACAUUUGGGACUAGAAGACAUUCCUGUCUGGGGUUUUCGUUCUUCACCUGGGUUGGUUAGCUCAAGUCACUGGGGAUGUGUCAAUACCCCAAUGCGGAUGUCUGGAGCGGUAGUUGGAGAGAGCAUGACUCACAUGGAGAUUGCCUCCAGAUUUUACUCCCUCCCAGUACUGGAGUUAAAAAGACCCAUGUUCUGAUCCUGGUUCUGGCACUUACAGGGUCUGAAGAGAACCAUAAAGGUGAAAUGUGAGGAAGAAAAUGGUGCUUUUUAAAGCAACCCCAUGCUGCGUUGUCUGACAAUGAUGACGGAGAAAGAGUGCUGACUAUGGCUCAGAUGCUGCAUUGAUUUACAUACCUGGAUUACAUCAACCGUUUAAUCCUCACUUCAACACUCUGAGGUUUCAGCUUUCUGAGUCUCCCAGCUUAUUAAUGAAUCUGAUUUCAUUAACUCCUGGCUGGUAGACCCCCAAACUGAGGCCACGACUGGAGCCCAUUUGGGCCAGUCUCAUGGAACCACUUGCCGAACACCCAAGAGGGAAAAUAUCUGUUUAUCUUGGAAUGGAAGUUCUCACUCUUACAAGGUGUGCUGCUGGCAAUGCAGAAGGGCUGUCUUCCCCACGAUGAACUGGACGCUCUACCCCUCACCACCCAGAAACCUGAGCAGAAGGCGGGACUUAGCUCCGUGCUCUGGGCUUGUGGAUUUUCCCUCCCCCACGCUCCUCUGCCUUCCCUGGUGCCUAUCAGGGACAGGGAGUGAUUGAAAUUAUUGAUUCAAUCCGUUUAUCCUCCUACCCCGGUGCAUCUCGGCUGGACCACUGAUUCUAGGGCCGAGCUUCGGCACGGUCCGCUGGCUUCCUCCACUUGGUGCCGAGGGCAACUGGAGCUGCAGAAACUCCUGGGGAGUCAGCAACGAAGACCAAGGACUGGGCUGGCAAUGGACUCCAGUUCCCAAGCCAGCUGCAGCUACUGAAUCCAGGGAAAUUGUGACGCGGCCGGCUGUUCCGAAGGCCGGGCCCGUCAGCUUGAUCCACUGCAAAAGAGGCAGACUUGACUCUCAACCUCCAAGUCCAAAGUUCCUCCAAACCUGCAUCCUGAGCUCUUACAAGGAAUCUCUGUGGGAAUACUCCCUCCCAUAGUAUGGAAUAAGUCAUAGCCACAAGAAUGAAGACAUUGCUGUUCCUUGAGUGACAAUAAAAGCAUCAUCUUGGGGGCAAUCGUGACUGGACUUAUCGUAAAUGCCUUCCUCUUCUACUAGAUUCCUGAAGUUCUCCUGCCCGCCUGCAUUUAUUUCCCAAGAAUUCUGUGCAGCUGAAGUAAUGUGCAUGAAUAUUGCGUAACAUUCUGUGGACGGAUACCAUAUCGUAGAAAUAAUUUAAUUGACGACCUGUAAUGAAAAGAGCGCUGGAACAUUCUUGUGCUACUAAAAGUGAGAGUGAAGCGUGCAUUCAAAUCAUCACCAUCGCCAUAACCAUCACUCAAAUCUGCAAACCCAAGUCUGUGACAGAGGACCCUAACUUCAUCCGUACACCAACAGCAGCCCUCAAAUAUGAAGCAACAAGGCUUAGGUGCCCUUUAUGUCAUCAGUGUUAUAAUAGAAUAUUGCAUAUAGUACCCUGCUAGCAUUUUUGGUACUUUAGUGCUAUGGUUGGGGUCCUUUCUUCCUUCCUUCCUUCCUCCCUUCCUUCCUUCCCUCCUUGCUUCUUUCCUCCCCUCCUUUAGUUCUUUCUUUCUUUCAUUACUAAAUACAAAUUUUAUGUACUGUGAUAAAGUAGUGGAAAGAAACUGUGUCGUUCUCUUGAGCUAGUAGAAAUAAGAUUGCUGCUGAAAACCUUUAACUCCAAAUUCUCUGGCUUUCAUGGGAAUGGAAUUUCAACUCUAAUGCAGCAUUAAUGGGGUUUUGCAUUGAAUUGCCUUUUGGGGUUUGAUUUGCCUUUUAGAGAAGCUGGUGUUUGACUGCAUGUUCAAACACGGCAUGUAUUCUUAUGAGCAAUGUGAGAUUCAAAUAAACACAACGAGUGUGUUCAUUCUGAUGACCUCCCCAUCACACAUUCAA